rnacentral:misc_RNA from 1 species
AGAUGGGGUAGUUGCGGAGAGAAGCAGCUCAGAUCUCCCGCCAUGGAUCCUCCGCUCUCUGGGUACGAACUUGACCCAUCUAAUUGCUACAAUCUGAGCAUCGAGGAGAAACGGGAUCUUGUUCGUGAACUGGCAAAAUAUCCGGAGACUGCCCCCGAAAAGCUGAAGACAUGGAGCCGUCGUGACCUUAUAGAUAUCCUCUGUGCAGAGAUAGGAAAGGAAAGGAAGUACAGCGGAUUGACGAAGCAGAAAUUGAUCGAGAAUCUCUUUAGGAUUAUGUCCGAGAAGAAUUAUGGAGAACAUAUAGAUGAGACCGAUACAAUUUUGCACCUCUGUGCACCUUCGUCCCCGCCUCAUCCUCAACCUCCACUUAAAAGACAACGUAAAACCGAUCACCCAUCACGCUUACCUGAUGUAACGAGCAGUCUCGCGCUGAUCAACGACAAUGAAGCUCAGAAAAGUAUCGAAUACUGCCUGAACUUGGCCUGCAGAGCAGCUGUGAGCCAAGAAUAUGCGUUUUGCAAACGGUGUUCGUG